rnacentral:rRNA from 1 species
UGAGUACGAGCGGCUACGGCCGCGAAGUGGAUGAUGUCAAGCUUCCAAGAAAAGCCCUAUACCCGUUAAGGCAUGAUGGCCUGUACCCGAAACCGACACAGGUGGGGUGGUAGAGAAUACCGAGGGGCGCGAGGUAACUCUCUCUAAGGAACUCGGCAAAAUGGCCCCGUAACUUCGGGAGAAGGGGUGCCACCGCGAGGUGGUCGCAGUGAAGAGGCCCAGGCGACUGUUUACCAAAAACACAGGUCUCCGCUAAGUCGCAAGACGAUGUAUGGGGGCUGACGCCUGCCCAGUGCCGGAAGGUUAAGGAAGCUGGUCAGCGCAAGCGAAGCUGGCGACUGAAGCCCCGGUGAACGGCGGCCGUAACUAUAACGGUCCUAAGGUAGCGAAAUUCCUUGUCGGGUAAGUUCCGACCCGCACGAAAGGCGUAACGAUCUGGGCGCUGUCUCGGAGAGAGGCUCGGCGAAAUAGAAUUGUCUGUGAAGAUGCGGACUACGUGCACCCGGACAGAAAGACCCUAUGAAGCUUUACUGUAGCUUGGUAUUGUGCUCAGGCUCGGAAUGCGCAGGAUAGGUGGGAGGCUUUGAUCCAUUGCUUGCGGGUGAUGGUGAGCCACUGGUGAGAUACCACUCUUUCCGAGCUAGAGUUCUAACAGCAACCCGUUAUCCGGGUGCUGGACAGUAUCAGGUGGGCAGUUUGACUGGGGCGGUCGCCUCCUAAAAGGUAACGGAGGCGCGCAAAGGUCUGCUCAGGCUGGUUGGAAAUCAGCCGACGAGUGUAAAAGCAGAAGCAGGCUUGACUGUGAGACCUACAAGUCGAACAGGGAGGAAACUCGGCUUUAGUGAUCCGACGGUUCUGCGUGGAAGGGCCGUCGCUCAACGGAUAAAAGUUACUCUAAGGAUAACAGGCUGAUCUCCCCCAAGAGUUCACAUCGACGGGGAGGUUUGGCACCUCGAUGUCGGCUCAUCGCAACCUGGGGCUGAAGUCGGUCCCAAGGGUUGGGCUGUUCGCCCAUUAAAGCGGUACGCGAGCUGGGUUCAGAACGUUGUGAGACAGUUCGGUCCAUAUCCGGUGCACGCGCAGGAAUAUUGAGAGGAUUUCUCCCUAGUACGAGAGGACCGGGAGGAACGCACCUCUGGUGUGCCAGUUAUCGUGCCAACGGUAAACGCUGGGUAGCCAUGUGCGGAGUGGAUAACCGCUGAAAGCAUCUAAGUGGGAAGCCCACCUCAAGAUGAGUAUUCCCAUGGCAUAAGCCAGUAAGGUCACGGGAAGAACACCCGUUGAUAGGCUCUACGUGGAAGCGCAGUAAUGUGUGAAGCGGAGGAGUACUAAUAGACCGAGGGCUU